UACAGAGGUCUCAAGCGUUGUUCGGAAUCACUGGGCGUAAAGCGUGCGUAGGCGGCGGGGUAAGUCGGGUGUGAAAUCUCAGAGCUCAACUCUGAAAUUGCAUUCGAUACUGCCUUGCUUGAGAGCUGAAGAGGAGGUUGGAAUUUACGGUGUAGCAGUGAAAUGCGUAGAUAUCGUAAGGAAGGCCGGUGGCGAAAGCGAACCUCUGGGCAGCUUCUGACGCUGUGGCACGAAGGCUAGGGGAGCAAACGGG
rnacentral:rRNA from 1 species